AUUGAACGCUGGCGGCAGGCCUAACACAUGCAAGUCGAACGGAAGCACAGAGAGCUUGCUCUCGGGUGACGAGUGGCGGACGGGUGAGUAACGUCUGGGAAACUGCCCGAUGGAGGGGGAUAACUACUGGAAACGGUAGCUAAUACCGCAUAACGUCGCAAGACCAAAGUGGGGGACCUUCGGGCCUCACACCAUCGGAUGUGCCCAGAUGGGAUUAGCUAGUAGGUGGGGUAAUGGCUCACCUAGGCGACGAUCCCUAGCUGGUCUGAGAGGAUGACCAGCCACACUGGAACUGAGACACGGUCCAGACUCCUACGGGAGGCAGCAGUGGGGAAUACUGCACAAUGGGCGCAAGCCUGAUGCAGCCAUGCCGCGUGUAUGAAGAAGGCCUUCGGGUUGUAAAGUACUUUCAGCGGGGAGGAAGGCGGUGAAGUUAAUACCUUCGGCUAAUGACGGUACCUGAAGAAUAAGCACCGACUAACUACGUGCCAGCCGCCGCCGUAA
rnacentral:rRNA from 1 species